CUGAAGUCGUAGGGCAAGAUCUGAACAAACUGAGAAAGGGGCUUGCUUUUGGCCUUCUCAAGAGACUUGAUCGCUUCUUUCCCGAGGUCGCUGGGUAGCUGGAGGCAGAUCCAGUCGAGCAACGAGUCUAAGUCCUUUGCGAAGUCGAGGAGGUACCAGUCGAGCAGCUUUGGGAUGCCAAACUUCGUCGGGGAAAUCCCUACUGAAGCCUGCAGGGCAACUUACAGCAGGGGAGGACCAGCUCCCGCAGGAGAGUGCAAAUGUCACAAGCGGCUCUGAGAGUUCUAGCCCGAACAUGCUCCUCGCUGUCAUCUCAUUGUUCUUUGUACCUUUUGGGAAGUUCUGCUAGAAACUCAGGGUGUUAGGAACUUGAUAAUCAAGAUUUCACCUUAAAUAAGAAAAAUAAAUAAAGAAAAACGUUCUAGACUUCUUACGUAUUUCGAAUGAUAAGGAAGUCUCAGGAUGAAAUGUUCAAUCGUAAUGGGAUUCAGUGAAUGACCCCCAACAUUAAUCGUUGCCUGCACAAAUUCGAUUGGUGAUGUAAUAAGCAUUUAAUCCCAUGAUCAACAAAAAAAUUUCGUAUCA